rnacentral:rRNA from 1 species
UUAUCUGCCCAGUGAAAUAUUUUAACGGCCGCAGUACCCUGACUGUGCAAAGGUAGCAUAAUCAUUUGACUUUUAAAUGGAGCCUAGAAUGAAUGAAAGAACGUAGAUAACUUGUCUCGGUAGCAUUAUUCUGAAAUUGAUAUAUGAGUGAAAAUACUCAUAAGUUUAAAAAUAGACGAGAAGACCCUUAGAAUUUUAAAAAUAUUGCACGUAAGGUCUUGUAAGAUUUUUUGUUGGGGCAACAAUAUUUCAUAAAAUAAAUAUAUUUAUUGAAGUUAUAGGUCGAUUUAAUAAUUAUAAAAAAAUUACCUAAGGGAUAACAGCAUAAUUUUAAAUAUAAAGUUUGUGACCUCGAUGUUGGACUAGGUACUAUUAAGGCUAAUCGUUUUAA